CCGACACGUUUUUGUUUGACGCCAUCGACUACCUCGAAUAAUCGCAGCAGCCCUACAAUGAAUCCAUGUCUUUUGCUGUGACUGCAACCAUGACCCGCAGGCAAAGUCACACCGAAUAAAGGGAAGCAGGUACCCCAGAGACCUAAAAGAGCGGCGAAGACCUCGGCUUUUCCCGUCAAUGCGAAUGCCAUGACCUUCAUUGUCAUUCUCGCUCGUUAAGCGGUGUUUUGUUCUGUAGUUGAGAUCCCAACAAUGGC